UACGUAGGGGGCAAGCGUUGUCCGGAAUCAUUGGGCGUAAAGCGCGUGUAGGCGGCUCGGUAAGUCUGCUGUGAAAGUCCAGGGCUCAACCCUGGGAUGCCGGUGGAUACUGUCGAGCUCGAGUCCGGAAGAGGCGAGUGGAAUUCCUGGUGUAGCGGUGAAAUGCGCAGAUAUCAGGAGGAACACCAAUGGCGAAGGCAGCUCGCUGGGACGGUACUGACGCUGAGGCGCGAAAGCGUGGGGAGCAAACAGG
rnacentral:rRNA from 1 species